rnacentral:rRNA from 1 species
UUAUACAAUGAAGAGUUUGAUCCUGGCUCAGGAUGAACGCUAGCGGCAGGCUUAACACAUGCAAGUCGAGGGGCAGCGAGAUCGUUAGCAAUAACGAUUGUCGGCGACCGGCGCAAGGGUGCGUAACGCGUGAGCAACUUGCCCGUUUCAGGGGGAUAACCGGUGGAAACGCCGACUAAUACCCCAUAGCAUCACAUUUAGGCAUCUUUAUGUGAUUAAAGAGUUUCGGAAACGGAUAGGCUCGCGUGACAUUAGCUAGACGGCGGGGUAACGGCCCACCGUGGCUACGAUGUCUAGGGGUUCUGAGAGGAAGGUCCCCCACACUGGAACUGAGACACGGUCCAGACUCCUACGGGAGGCAGCAGUGAGGAAUAUUGGUCAAUGGUCGAAGGACUGAACCAGCCAUGCCGCGU